rfam:Myotis lucifugus cont2.22716, whole genome shotgun sequence.
GAGACACCCCUAUGGAGCUGGACUUGCUUUAGUGGGGCUUUGGUGCUGACUGAGUCUGCCCCUUGAGUGUGUCACU